GUUUUGCCAUGUUGGCUAGGCUGGUCUCGAACUCUUGACCUCAGGUGAUCCAUCUGACUUGGCCUUCCAAAGUGGUAAGAUUUCAGGCAUGAGCCACCGCACCUAGCCACAAGAUUUCAUUUUAACUGGGCACAGGGGUGGGGGUUGCCAACUGUUUCAUUAAGUAGGAUGGUAAAAAAUAAUAAUAUCACCAGCACUACUCCCACCAUUCAGAAAAAACACUACCGAAGGUAACAAGAAAGGGCUGCCAUCAGAAAGAAGGGCAGCCAUGAAAUGAGUACAUUUGACUUUUAGAAUAAUUUACUAGAGUGACUACUGGAGUUGUAAACAACCACCACCACCACCACAACACAAAAUUUACCACCUUGUCCCCAUCCCUGUUUUUCUUAUUUUGCUUCAAACCAGACAUUGGAAGCCAUCGGACGCAUCCAACACACCCAUCUGACAAGUGGAAAGAUGAGCCCCAGAGAAAGCUGGGACUUGCCCAAGAUCUCACAGGAAAACCCAGGACUCACGUCUGUCCAGCCGCUCUGCAAAGCUUGCAGACGCUCCCUCCAUCCUGACCUGGGGGGAAAAUUGGACAGUCACGCACAGGCGGCCAUGUGAUGAUGAAGGCACAGUUUGGAGUCACACGUCUACAACACCAGGAACCAAUGCCAAGGAAACUGGCAGCCACCAGAGGUUGGAAGAUGCAAGGAAGGAUCCUCUCCUAGAGCAUUCAGAGAUAGCAGGGCCUGGCUGACCCCUGGAUUUUGGACUUCGGGCCUUUAGAACUGUGAGAGAAUAAAUUUCUGUUGUGUUGA